rnacentral:rRNA from 1 species
UUUCCUACGGGGGGCUGCAGUGGGGAAUAUUGCACAAUGGGCGCAAGCCUGAUGCAGCAACGCCGCGUGAGGGACGACGGCCUUCGGGUUGUAAACCUCUUUUAGCAGGGAAGAAGCGAAAGUGACGGUACCUGCAGAAAAAGCACCGGCUAACUACGUGCCAGCAGCCGCGGUAAUACGUAGGGUGCAAGCGUUAUCCGGAAUUAUUGGGCGUAAAGAGCUCGUAGGCGGUCUGUCGCGUCUGCUGUGAAAACUGGAGGCUCAACCUCCAGCCUGCAGUGGGUACGGGCAGACUAGAGUGCGGUAGGGGAGAUUGGAAUUCCUGGUGUAGCGGUGGAAUGCGCAGAUAUCAGGAGGAACACCGAUGGCGAAGGCAGAUCUCUGGGCCGUAACUGACGCUGAGGAGCGAAAGCGUGGGGAGCGAACAGGAUUAGAUACCCUGGUAGUCAU